rnacentral:rRNA from 1 species
UACAGAGGGCGCGAGCGUUGUCCGGAAUCACUGGGCGUAAAGGGCGCGUAGGUGGCCACCAUAAGGCCGCGGUGAAAGUUCGGGGCUCAACCCCGGAUCGGCCGCGGCGACUGUGGGGCUCGGGUACUGUAGAGGCAGAUGGAAUUCCGGGUGUAGCGGUGGAAUGCGUAGAGAUCCGGAAGAACACCAGUGGCGAAGGCGGUCUGCUGGGCAGUGGGCUCGAAAGGGCCCUUAACCGACACUGAGGCGCGACAGCGUGGGGAGCAAACAGG